AGGAGAUGCAGUAGAGGUCAGGUGUUUCCCAUCCACAGCUUUGUCUGAACAGUGUGGGGUGUGUGGUGGGUGUCUACGUGAGUGUACAUCUUCAUGUAUACACAUGCACAACCCAUGCACACAUACUUCGGAAGUCCUCCCUUGUGUGUCCAUUCUGUAGUAGAUAAUGUUUAUUUAAGAGCAUGGUACAACUUAAAUCAAUAUAGCAAUGACUUUGUUUCUAAAAUCGUUUCAAUGUUUUUAGAAAUGUGAAUGACUAUACCUGGUAAAGUAAUGUUGGAUCAAUAUAUUUUCACUUCUUCUUCUACUGUUUUUUUUGGUGAGGAAGAUUGGUUCUGAGCUAACAUCUGUGCCAACCUUCCUCUAUUUCGUAUGUGGGACGCUGCCACAGCAUGGCUUGAUGAGCAAUGUGUAGGUCCACGCCCAGGAUCCAAACCCGUAAGCCCUGGGCCUCUGACAUGCAGUGCAUGAACUUAACCUCUAUGCCACCAGGCUGGCCGCUAUUUUCAUUUUUUUGAGUAUGACCUUAAUAAAAUUAAGGCUGGGUGGUCUCACAGGAAAAAACAUUCAGGUCUCUCGUUUAGACUGGGUUCAUCUCAAAACGUAGGAAAAAUAAUGUGAACUCAACCUGUUUCCUAAAGAGAGUUGGUCAACAACAUCUUUACACACAGAGACUGGUUUUUCAAUAUUUAAAGAGCAGUUACCUGGAUCUCUUAUGUCCCAUAAUCAAAUAGAAAUAGAAGACCAAAUACUGUGACAUAAGGCAAACAUUAGCAGUAAGAAUAAAUCGAUGUUUUCUUUUUCAUCUCAGUUCCAUGUCUGGAUUUAUAACAUUGCCUUCCCUCCAUUUUGUUUUUCGAUUUCUUCUAUCUCCAUCCUUUUUCUCCCUUCUCCUGGAAGUCAGCUCCUCAUAGUCAUUUUAUGGAAUAAAUUGUAACAUGAAGAGCAUCUUCAAGAAAUUAUAUCCUACGGCCUUUCUUAAGGUGUACUCUUGAAAACAUCUUAUAUUUGGAUAAUUUUAUUCCUUUUAUUUAAAACUUCAAAACCAAGUAUUUAUCUUUUAAUGGGAGAAAUUUCAGAGUGUGCUUCCAGGACUGAAACUGUUAGGUCGUAGUGAGUACAUGCCUUAAUUUUCGUGAGCGCUAUUGUAUUCUCCAGAACAUCCACGCCUGUUUACAUUUCCAGCAGGAGUGUGAAGGGUUCCAGUUUCCUCACAUUCUGACCAAC
rnacentral:lncRNA from 1 species